rnacentral:rRNA from 1 species
UGGGGAAUAUUGCGCAAUGGACGAAAGUCUGACGCAGCGACGCCGCGUGUGGGAGGAAGCUCUUCGGGGUGUAAACCACUGUCAGGAGGGAAGAACGGCGCCGGUUCGAACAGUUCCGGCGAUUGACGGUACCUCCAAAGGAAGCGCCGGCUAACUCCGUGCCAGCAGCCGCGGUAAGACGGAGGGCGCAAGCGUUGUUCGGAAUUACUGGGCGUAAAGCGCGUGUAGGCGGCGUAGCAAGUCGGGCGUGAAAGCCCACGGCUCAACCGUGGAAGAGCACUCGAAACUGCUGCGCUAGAGUUCUGGAGAGGAAGGCGGAAUGCUUGGUGUAGAGGUGAAAUUCGUAGAUAUCAAGCGGAACACCGGUGGCGAAGGCGGCCUUCUGGACAGUGACUGACGCUGAAACGCGAAAGCGUGGGGAGCAAACAGGAUUAGAUACCCCUGUAGUCCCUGAGCGGGCUGGCAAGGCGCAU